rnacentral:rRNA from 1 species
GUCGAGAAUCUUUCACAAUGGGGGCAACCCUGAUGGAGCGACGUCGCGUGGAGGAUAAGGUCUUCGGAUUGUAAACUCCUGUCAUGCGUGAACAAGGUUGCUUGGUUAAUACCUGGGCAAAUUGAUGGUAACGCAAGAGGAAGAGACGGCUAACUCUGUGCCAGCAGCCGCGGUAAUACAGAGGUCUCAAGCGUUGUUCGGAAUCACUGGGCGUAAAGGGUGCGUAGGUGGCGUGGUAAGUCAGAUGUGAAAGCCCGGGGCUCAACCUCGGAACUGCAUCCGAUACUGCCAUGCUAGAGUACUGGAGAGGUGACUAGAAUUCUCGGUGUAGCAGUGAAAUGCGUAGAUAUCGAGAGGAAUACCAAAGGCGUAGGCAGGUCACUGGACAGUUACUGACACUGAGGCACGAAGGCCAGGGGAGCGAACGGGAUUAGAAACCCUGGUAGUCC